rnacentral:SRP_RNA from 1 species
UAUCGGUCCCCUCGCGACGACGAACUGUGAACCCCGUCAGGCCCGGAAGGGAGCAGCGGUAACAGCCACAUCGGGCGCUGGGGUGCGGCUGGUAUGG